GGACAAUCUCUCCAGGUUGAUACACCCCUACUCCAUUACCCUCAGUUGCCCGCUUCAAUUGGCAAAGGCUUUGGACAAUCUCUCCAGGGAAGUGCAUCACAUCAAUUUGUUGGAGCCCUGAUGGUAAAAUAAUAGCACUUGGCACAGAAGAUGGUUUGAUUCUUCUGCAUGAUGUGGAGGUGUGUAUGUGGAUGAUGAUAAAAACUGUCGGUGUCUAUUGUAUCUUUGUAUGAACAUUCGUUUGUACUUCAUAGACACCUGAUCCAGUGCCUAUCUUCUCUUAAUAUUUUUCUAAUUGCUUAUUCUCAUUUUUA